AUGAGAGCCCGGUUUAACCAGAAGAUGACAUUGCUCAAACCUUCCCUGGACACUUCUAUGGACCGUGGAGCCCUAGGGUUUUUCGUCGGGCCAAAUUUUAACAAGCACACCUGUAAGGUAUGCGGAACGAGCACAGCCCUCGCCUUUCCCCCGCACCCACACGCACACCCCGGGGUAUUCCGGGACCUGCCGCUGCACGGGGUGCCCGUGCAGGGGGCAACCCAGCCCGCAGGCUGCCCCCCCUCCCCGCCCGACCCCCGGCGGCCCCCCCCGGCCCCAGCAGCGCCGUGCUGCCGGUGCCUCCCCGCCGGCUGCCAUUCGCCGCCCGCCAGGGCAGGGCCACGGCCGGGCCCGGCCCCGCGGCGGAGCAGAAGGAGCGAGGCCCCCGGGGCGGCGGGCGCCGGGCGGGGGGGAGCCCGCUGCCCCCUGCCCCCGCCCCGUACUUACGGGAGGGAACCGGGGAGCUACCGGCGGCGCCCCCGCCGGGCCCGCUCGGCCGCCACCAUCUUUGGUGAGGGCUCCGCCGGAAGCCGCCGCCGCCGCCUCCCUCGCCGCGGGCCGGCCGGGGAAGGGCGGGGGGGGCGCCGCCGCCGCCAUGUCGGUUGUGGGCAGCGCGGCGGGCGGGCGGGAGGCGCGGCGGGGAGCCCGGCCCCGGGGGCGGCCGGCGGCUGGAGGGGGUCGGAGGCACCGCAGGCACCGCGCCUCGGGCGGCAGCGCCGCCUGCUCCGGCGGGACGGGACGGGACGGGACGGGACGGGACGGGACGGGGGCUCAGGGCCCCGGCUCCUCCCGCGGGAGCCCGGCCGGCGUCCGCCGGGGCGUUGGCAGCGCAGGGGGGGAUCUGUGGGGAGUAAGGUGGCAGCGGGGCGGAGGCAGGCUGCCUUUGGCACCGUGUGGAGGAGAAAACUGCCCCCAGCCCGACUCUACACUACUGCUCGCAUGAAAUUCGGGGAGAGAGAAUGGCAGCCGAGGAGGGGGAGGGAGAAAAGCCACCUUUCCCAGAAGGGGAACAAUGCUGGCAUACCCAGUGUUUGCCGGGGGGGCCAGGGACCAUCCCCUACACCUUGGCAUCCUCCCUGUCUGAGCAGCCGUGCCACUCAGUUCUGCCUCUGCAAUUGGGACAGCCCAAGUGCACGAUGCUGGAAACCCCAGUGCCACCAGGCAUGGGCCAGUGCCCCAGGGUGGGAAGAGGGACACAGCACCUGGGUAGCACCACCGGGCGGCUAAGUCACCGGGAAGACAAGAUCGGUUUAUGUUGUUUCUAUUUCAGCCUGGGCAGGGCUAGACUACAGCAAGUCUUGACAACCCUCCUUGUUCAAACACAAGUCUAUUUGCUUUAAUUAAGGUAAGCUAGGGAAAGAGUUAAAACUAUGAAAUUGUUGACUGAGAAUGCAUCUAUGCCCUAGUUUCCCUCUGUACUGCUCUCAUAGUACCCCCACCCUGCAUAUUUCUUCUAUUAAAUACUUUACAUUUAGAGAGAGGAAGGGGUGCUGAGGGUCUCAGCCCCAUCUUCCCAUUUGGGGGACUGCUGUAACACACAAAACAAUGUCCCACGCUAAUACUAACCAUGGGAGUUCAGCAGGCAGCCUCCAAACCACUAAUCUGAGCAUAAACCAGCUAUACCUCUGAGCAGCCCCACAAGGGCAAAGCAGGGGUAUUCACCCAGGUACGCUUAUUGAAGUGGUGGUUGGGAAAUGCUACAGGUUCUUAACGUCAUUGUCUCCUGAAUGGUAGCACAUCCAUACGUACAACGAUUGAGAUAGGUGUGCAAUCUGAUUGCUUUUAUUGAGUAAUAGUCUGAUAGCUACAAUGGUGAAUUAGAAGAAGAAGAAGAAAAAAAAAAAAACACAAAAAACCGAUCUCCUAAAAAAAAAAUCAAUCCAGAUUUCCCCAUAUUUUGGGAAAGAAGCUGAAGAAAACAUUCUACACUGUAGAAGACAGCCGUAACUGCUGAUAUCCAUGCUUUGACACUGGAACCGAGCGACUGCAGUUCUGCAGCGUGGAGUCCUAAAGCCUCAGCCAAAAGAGGCUUAGCACUAAUAGCAUGGAUAUAUCACCACCGGGAAGAUGUUAACAUGUUAACAAAGAUUCUGGGAUACCAAUCUGGUAUAAUCAGCAAAUUACUGGGUUCCUAUGAAAGAUGUGGCAUUUCUCCUUAAUAUCAGCUUUUAGAGAACUUUGAAAAACAAUGUUUUAAAGUGAUUGCUUUCAGUUCCCCUUUCCUUGCAGAAAAGCACAGAAAUUAGAGUUCAAUAAAAACUGAAUGGAUGAUCGCUUUUUUGACUGG
ensembl:lncRNA